AAACGAACUACUGAGAAUACAUUCAGUAAGAAAAAAGAGAACGAAUAACCUGUGGUGUGUAGUGUCUUCGAUUCGAGAGAGACACAUUCACUGCCCCACCGGGAAAUAUUAUACGUUUGUGGGUGACAUUUAUAUGUAGGGGUCCAAAGUCGGGGUCGGGUCGCGGACCCGCGACAGUCGGUAAAUAACACCGAGCAACAACAGCUGGCAAGGGCUCUUUCGUCUAUUAUCGACUGACAACAAUCCAAAAAAAGCAGGACAACCGAAACGUUCGAAUUAUAUCAAAAUAAUAAUUUGAUGAGUGCUUGGAACAGGGUAACGGCCCAAUGUGGGCAUUAUGUUUGCCAUUAUCCAAACGAAAAAAAUAUCAAUCAUUUUCUUUCUACGUACGCUGUACGUAGCAACGUCAGCAAAUUCACGACAAACGACAUCCAAGAUUUAAAAAAUUGAAUUUGAUUUGAUUUAAAAAAAAAUGGUUUUUUAUCGCCCAUACGAUGAAUUCAAUAAAAGCGGUAAAUAUCCGUUUUGGCAUUCAAUAAACAGAUAUAUGCUGAGCAAUAGAAAAAACCGUUUUAAAUUAUAUUUUCGCUAAAGCGUGCAUUGACGAAUUUCGUUUUCGGCUGUCAACGGGGCCGAAAAUCGGCGUUAUUCGCAAAAACUUUGUGUGAAGUUUGGUUCGAGCAUGUAAAAAAUAAAAAUUUUCUGAUUAUCCGA